CCUACGGGGCGCAGCAGUGAGGAAUAUUGGUCAAUGGGCGAGAGCCUGAACCAGCCAAGUCGCGUGAAGGAUGACGGCCCUACGGGUUGUAAACUUCUUUUGUCAGGGAGCAAUUGGGUCCACGCGUGGGCUUAGCGAGAGUACCUGAAGAAAAAGCAUCGGCUAACUACGUGCCAGCAGCCGCGGUAAUACGUAGGGGGCAAGCGUUAUCCGGAUUUACUGGGUGUAAAGGGAGCGUAGACGGCAGCGCAAGUCUGGAGUGAAAUGCCGGGGCCCAACCCCGGAACUGCUCUGGAAACUGUGAA
rnacentral:rRNA from 1 species